GAAAUUUUAAUCUUUUUCCUGGGCCACUGAGAUUGGAAUAAACAUGAACUCUGAUUGUUUCUAUGAUCUGAAGACUCAGUUGCCGGGGGUUUGAGUUUUAUGGAGGAUCUCCAGUUUUGGAACUCUCUUCUCCAUACCCAACAGAUCCCAGAUUUAUAAGCUAUGAGAUUCUAAAAGGAAAGAAAAAGGUUAAGGAAGAAUUAGCUUCCUUUCCAUGUUUUUAAAAGGCUUAUGAGUGAUUCGUGUGAGGACUGCAAGCUUAUCUUGUUCAAGGUAUUUACUGGUUCUUCUUAGUGGUUGAGUGGAUCUAAGUUUGAGUGACAGACUGCUCCUUUGUGAUUGGACCACAGCAGCAGAAUGUGUGGAAAGAGGGAUGUGAGGAGCACAUAUUAUCUCAAAGUCCUUCCACAAUACGACCUCCACUCUCCAGGAGCUGAACAAUACUGGUCAGUGUGUUACCUGGACCAGCUGGAUGAUGACACCCAGUGCUUACCUGUCAGCAAGGAGGCCGCAGGUUGCUGGUAGCAAAAUGAUCUGCCUCAGACCACUUUAGACCCUUCCAUCAACUUUAGUCCUGAAUUGUCUCUUAUGAAAGUUAACAAAAUUGCUUCUUAAAAAUAAUCUUAGUCUCAAUUUUGCUUCCUGCAUUGUCUUUCUUCAAGUCUCAUUAUAUUCCUUUUUAACGUGUCUACACUGCGCCUUCUUCUCUUCUAGUUAUCUCUUGAAUAGGUGCUCAGACUUCUGCUUUGAUGGCAUCUUGCUUUGCAUUUAAACAGCUCCUAAAAAUGUCUCAGCAAUGCUGCCAAGUUAAUCUUCCGUUCUGGCUUUUUCAAUCCCUGAACCACGUGAUUUUGAUUUGUAUACUGGUAAUGUCAAAAGUAAUUUCUUCUUUAUUUUUUAAUGAAAUAGUCAAAAAAAGGAAAAAAUUUAAAAAUUGGACCAUAGGGAAAUGGAUUCAUGGAUUAUGGUGUAUAACAAUGAUACAAUCUGGAGCACACAUAAGAAUUAUUUUAGAAGAGAGUUAACGAUUUGGACAACGGUCACAACAAGAUAGAAGUGUGGUUAAAAAAUACAUGUGAAGUGUCACUACAUUUACACUAAUAAAUACACGUCUGGAUAUUGAUGGAAAGACUGAAAGAGUGUACAUCAGGAAGUUAAUCAUAGCUAUCUCUGAGUGAUAGAAUUAUGGGGGACCUUAUUUUCUUCUUUAGGCUUUGUUUCCCCUGUAUUGCUUGAAUGUUCUAAAUGAAAGUAUUUUAUUUUAGAGUCAGGAAGAGUUAUUUUAGAAAAUGGGCAGAAGUAUAUUUUGGCACUUCCUUUUAUUAUUCUUAAACAUUUAUCAAAAUAUAGACCUAUAGCUAGAAAGGUGUCACAACUCUAAAUAAAGGAGCUGAUGAAAAUUUUUUGCUGUGUGUAAGAAAUGAGCCAAACAUGCAGAUUUCUGGAUGGCUUCUACUGUUUUUGUAUAUGUGCUACUGGAAUGAGUACUGGAUGAUUUCUACUGUCUGAGACUCUACAGUAAUUGCAUGACACAUGGUUCGUUUAUGUUUCAGUAAUUCUAGAAACAGUAUCAUGUAUGCAACUUCCUUUUCUUGAUAGAAAAGAUAGCAAAAGAUGUGGUAUCAUCUUUCAUUUGAGAUCAUGUUCAAGGGCAUUAGUGCCUGUGAAAAUCCUUCAGCAGCAUUUCUUUCCUUUAACUGCUUCAGUGUUCUACCCUAAUCCUUUCUUUGUUCACUGUCUCUUUUAUUGGUUUAUCUUUUGUCAACCUCAGAACCCUUUCACAAGCAGUGACAUAUGCCAGAGGUGCCGAUCUUGUCCUGAAAGAUAAUAUUAAGAUAUUUGCAUGGGUCCUUCCACUAUUCUGUGGCUCCCAUACCAAAUUUUGUGCAGAGCCCCUACACCCUACUUCUAGAUCAAGGGACAAAUAGACAGAAAGUCCCAGGCAGGUUAUCGUGGGAUGACCCUGAGUCAAAUCUCAAGAACUUCUGCACAUUCCGAUGUAGGGUGGGUAUGAGAAAGGUGGAUGAGAAGUAGAGUCCUUGAGGGGGAUCUGGACAUGGCAGAGCAGACUGGCAGGCCUCUCACAGCUUCCAGGAGUCAUGAAGAAAACACAGAAAUGAUCUGCAAGAUGAUGUAGAAAGCCUCUGAGCAUCUAGAAUGACUUCAGGAGUGCCCAGUGAGAAGAUGAUGAUCACAUACAAAGUACUCAUCACUGUUCUCUGGCAUCUGAGCUCUCUGAUAGAAGUAGAAGAGUUUAAUCAACUUUAAGAUCUAGUUGCAACUGACGAUCUUGUUGCAAACUGAAACUGAAUCAACUGGGACAGAAUUUCUCACAUCUGUAGAAUGGGGUUGGAAAAAGAAAAUUAGUUAUUUAUGGUAAAAUGAAGAUUUUUUUGCAUGCUUAGGUGUGUGGUCUGAGAAUCAUAGGGUAGGAGUUGUUCUUAAAUAGAUACUAUUCAUAUAUGUAGUAAAUACGUGCAUAGAUACAUUUCCUUGUGUGAAUUCCUUCCACAUCAUUUUUGGAUAUAUCAAAUGUAUACCUUUAAAAAAUUUGUACAUGCUUACAGUACACAAUGAUGACAUUCAUCAGGAGGAAUUAGUGCAUAAUAAUGACAUAUCUUGAUUCUGUUUUUAUUCUGCUUUAUCCUUCCCCUCCCUCCAGCUCUUGGAUCUAUUUAUUUGUAUGUUUACAUAAUUACAUUCCUCAUAGAGACUUGGUACACGUACACACACAUUCCAAUUCUCCCUUCCUAUUUAAUCUCAUUUCUUGCCCCUCCCUCCUCUCUCUACUUCUUGGUUCUCCUUCCACAUCAGAAACCCAAAAUAUAAAUAAAAAGAAAAAUAAAAGAUAGACAUUAGGAAAUAGAAAGAUCUUUAGUAUACAGAAACGGAUCCAUUCUUUCUAUAUCAAUGUGCAGGACUAUCACAUCUAAAAGCAAUGAAUUAAAACUUCUUUAGAGGAACUGAGGAAGAAGAAAGCACUAAGUAUGUAUCUUUAUUAUUUAAAACAAGAAAGACAGAAGAGAAUUCAGCAUUUUCUCUAGGGUGAAAGGAGGUGUUUUUCAUCCCUACGAGCCAAAAAUUACUCACUAGGUUUCCCAAGAAGCUAAAUGAGACGGAGCACCACACAAUUUCAGUCAAAUUCUCCCUCAACUACAAAUUAAAGGACUUUGGGACAGCGUCUGACUCAGCCCAUGGUUAGUCCUGUGCUUCACAAAUUCAAAAGCCUUUAGAACCCUGGUGAAUGAUACAAUGAGUAAAGAUGUGGAGGGCACAAAAGGAGAGGUAGGUGGGAGCUCUGAUGAGCCGCUCCAAGAUCUAACGGGUAACCGGCAGCCAGCCAAAUGCAGAUUCUAGGAAAGUGUUUACAGGAAAGUGGAAGAAGUGCAGGUUGAUGCAAGUGGGAGGCUGGCAUCUCCUGGGAGUGAGGGAAAAAGACCAGGAGGAAGCUGAAGAGAGAAACAAGCCAGGAAGCCAGGGGCGAGGCAUGUCUUACACCUGCUGUACUGUCUAGAAUAAAACAGUGAUGAAUUAA